rnacentral:rRNA from 1 species
CCCGAAACCCGGUGAUCUAGCCAUGGGCAGGUUGAAGGUUGGGUAACACUAACUGGAGGACCGAACCGACUAAUGUUGAAAAAUUAGCGGAUGACUUGUGGCUGGGGGUGAAAGGCCAAUCAAACCGGGAGAUAGCUGGUUCUCCCCGAAAGCUAUUUAGGUAGCGCCUCGUGAAUUCAUCUCCGGGGGUAGAGCACUGUUUCGGCAAGGGGGUCAUCCCGACUUACCAACCCGAUGCAAACUGCGAAUACCGGAGAAUGUUAUCACGGGAGACACACGGCGGGUGCUAACGUCCGUCGUGAAGAGGGAAACAACCCAGACCGCCAGCUAAGGUCCCAAAGUCAUGGUUAAGUGGGAAACGAUGUGGGAAGGCCCAGACAGCCAGGAUGUUGGCUUAGAAGCAGCCAUCAUUUAAAGAAAGCGUAAUAGCUCACUGGUCGAGUCGGCCUGCGCGGAAGAUGUAACGGGGCUAAACCAUGCACCGAAGCUGCGGCAGCGACACUAUGUGUUGUUGGGUAGGGGAGCGUUCUGUAAGCCUGUGAAGGUGGCCUGUGAGGGUUGCUGGAGGUAUCAGAAGUGCGAAUGCUGACAUAAGUAACGAUAAAGCGGGUGAAAAGCCCGCUCGCCGGAAGACCAAGGGUUCCUGUCCAACGUUAAUCGGGGCAGGGUGAGUCGACCCCUAAGGCGAGGCCGAAAGGCGUAGUCGAUGGGAAACAGGUUAAUAUUCCUGUACUUGGUGUUACUGCGAAGGGGGGACGGAGAAGGCUAUGUUGGCCGGGCGACGGUUGUCCCGGUUUAAGCGUGUAGGCUGGUUUUCCAGGCAAAUCCGGAAAACCAAGGCUGAGGCGUGAUGACGAGGCACUACGGUGCUGAAGCGACAAAUGCCCUGCUUCCAGGAAAAGCCUCUAAGCAUCAGGUAACAUCAAAUCGUACCCCAAACCGACACAGGUGGUCAGGUAGAGAAUACCAAGGCGCUUGAGAGAACUCGGGUGAAGGAACUAGGCAAAAUGGUGCCGUAACUUCGGGAGAAGGCACGCUGAUAUGUAGGUGAAGCGACUUGCUCGUGGAGCUGAAAUCAGUCGAAGAUACCAGCUGGCUGCAACUGUUUAUUAAAAACACAGCACUGUGCAAACACGAAAGUGGACGUAUACGGUGUGACGCCUGCCCGGUGCCGGAAGGUUAAUUGAUGGGGUUAGCGGUAACGCGAAGCUCUUGAUCGAAGCCCCGGUAAACGGCGGCCGUAACUAUAACGGUCCUAAGGUAGCGAAAUUCCUUGUCGGGUAAGUUCCGACCUGCACGAAUGGCGUAAUGAUGGCCAGGCUGUCUCCAC